rnacentral:tRNA from 1 species
UAUAAUAUGCCUGAAAAAGGAUUAUUCUGAUAGAAUAAAUAAUGUAAUUAAUGUUACUAUUAUAU